rnacentral:lncRNA from 1 species
CUUCCGGGGUCCAAACCGCUCCGUAAGUCCGCUACUCCCACCCUUCCUAGUGGUCGGCUCGGUUCCGAUUGGCAGCCUGUCUGGGACUGGCACGGUGAUCACAGAGUUGGAGGGCGGGGUGAGAGGUGUACGUCUGCGUUUGCGUCUCCGCCCUUUUGCGGGCUUGCGUGCGUGUACGGGGGGCGGGGACUGUCACGGUGCUUUUUCUCCGAGUUGUUCAACGCUGCUGACUGCCCAGAAGUGGCUUCGUAGCUGCUCCGGUCAGUGGCGAGGUUAGGUUCAGUCGCUGGUUGUGCGGCGUGACCGUGCUGUCUUCACGUUGAGCUCUUUCCGUCUUGUUUAGCCUUCAGUCUGGAGCUUGUGGUUCCACACCGUCAGUCGCACCAAUUCGUGUAAAGUGCAGAGAGAGGUCUCUGGGAUUGUUUGAUAGAGAGGUGCUCCGUAAACACAUAGAGCAAGCACAUCAAAGGUGGCAGGUGCAAUGUAAACGGAAAAGGCUGGAUCAGGGGAAGGGGUAUGAGGUGCGGCCCAGGUAAAAUGGAAAUUGCACCACCCAACGUGACACCGAACCGAAGAAGGAAACCAGCAGAUGAGGAUGGCGGGAACAGCACCUGUGAGGAUGUGCAGUCUGGGAGUGGUCAGCAGGAACGAUUGUGAGCACACUGGCCAUGUGAGGUACAAUGGCAACGUCUCUACCUGUACGCAUGUCUGCUGGGCUUUACAUAUCUGCUUUGUGUCUCCUCUCCAUGUGGCCACUGUGCAUCAUGUAUUGCCAACUGUAAAACAAAUAAAUAAAUAAAUUUAAAAUAACA